rnacentral:misc_RNA from 1 species
AACGCAAAUUGCACUCCCUGGUAUUCCGGGGAGUAUGCCUGUUUGAGGGUCGCCAAAAUAAACAUCGAUUGCAUUGCUUUUUUUUUUUAAGAGUAAAUGUUUAUCGGAUUUGAGCUAUCUUUUUUUGAUAAAUCAAGUGGCUUAAAAUUUUAUUUCUCGGUAUCAUCGAAAGCGUAAUUUUACGAUCAAGUUUCGAUUAUAAAGAAACGCUUUGAAUACCAUCAUCAAAUGUAAUACGUUUGGCCAUGUGAUAAUAUCUGUGGUUUCAUUCGUAUACGAUUUUAAUUUUUUGACCUCAAAUCAGGUAAGAGUACCCGCUGAACUUAA